CGCAUCUGUGCAUGCAGCAUAUCAAUAAGCGGAGGAAAAGAAACUAACAAGGAUUCCCCUAGUAACGGCGAGUGAAGCGGGAAGAGCUCAAAUUUGAAAUCUUAAAGGGUUUCCCUUUACGAAUUGUAGUUUAAAGAAGUGUUUUCUGUUGAGGUUUUGGUAAAAGUUCUUUGGAAUAGGACAUCAUAGAGGGUGAGAAUCCCGUAUUUGACCUUUACUUUCAACUUUGUGAUACACUUUCAAAGAGUCGGAUUGUUUGGGAAUGCAGUCCAAAAUGGGUGGUAAAUUUCAUCUAAAGCUAAAUAUUGGCGAGAGACCGAUAGCGAACAAGUACCGUGAGGGAAAGAUGAAAAGAACUUUGAAAAGAGAGUUAAACAGUACGUGAAAUUGUCAAAAGGGAAGCGUUUGACACCAGUGUUGUUUUUCUGAGAAUCAAUUAAAGAACUGUUUAUGCUAAGUUGUUUAGACUUUAUCAGCUAACUGUUUAGUUUUGAGCUUUUCUUUAAUGCACUUUUCAGUUAACAAGUCAACAUCAAUUUCUUUUGCUGUAAAAAAGCUUGAGGAAGGUGGCUUGAGAUUCGUCUUAAGUGUUUAUAGCCUCUUGCCUAUGCAGUCGGAGAGAUUGAGGUCUGCAGCGUAGAUCCCUCGGGGCUAAAUGCAUUUGUGCUAAGUUAUAGCAUUUUAUAGACAACUUGUUGACUAUGAUUUGUCUUGUAGCUUACCUCGCUUAUGUUAUUUUACCUACGCUUAGGAUGUUGAGUCGUAGAGCACGCAG
rnacentral:rRNA from 1 species